CUGACAAAUCGUUCACUUCAAUGUUCACAAUGUUUGCCAUUGUGUAAUUUUUAUGAUUACAGCACGCGACAUCAAACGACAUUAUUAAAGAAAGCGUAUCUACUAACAGUAAAUCAAGAAUUUCUCAAAUUAAUUGGUAGGCAAGAAAGUGACGGCAAAUCUAAUUACACGUAUGAGUCGUUAGUCACUUUGAUAAAACAGACGGAUGAUCUGAGUAUUGUGAGAAUCUAUUUUGAUUCUACGUACGCUAUACUAUUCGCAAAACGCUCACUCUACAAUUGGUUGGAAAUAUUAUCAAAUAUUGGCGGAGUCAUUGGCAUUUUUGUGGGCUGCUCACUCAUUAGUGUAUUUGAGGUUAUCUACUUUUUCAUCGUAAGAUUGACACAUAACAUUCGAAAAUAUUACUAAAUUAUAAAAAAACAUGUUAAUAGAUAAUCAACUGAACGCCUAGAAGCUUUAAGUGUAAUCAUUUUUAUACUCUUGCAACAUGUGGCUAGAGAGUGCAAUAAUUUUGUUACCCUAACGGUUGUUUAUAUCACCCAAACA